AAAAAAAUAAACCGUGGGUUUCUGUGUCCAACGUUUGACUGUCCGUUUAUGAAUUUUUUUAUAUUUAGUAUUUUCAUUAUUGUUAGAUGAUAAAACAUGAUUAAUACUUUAUGCGUAACUUAUCUUUUUAAUUUUUUUCAUAAUUUUUUCAAAUAAGACGGACGAUCAAACGUUGAACACGGAAACCCAAGGUUUGUCUUUUU
rfam:Oryza glumipatula chromosome 10, whole genome shotgun sequence.